UUUACUUGGAUAGGAUCAUCUGAACAAUGUGGUUUUUACAUGGCAAAGGUGAAGUGUGCGCUGAACUGAAUGGGUCAUCUACAUCAAUUGGUUGGAUUUUCCAGGAACCAAUAUGCAACUCAUAACACUAUGAUGCUUAUAACCAUCUUGUCUUGCAGUUGCUUACAAAACACUCUGCUUUUUCUUUCAUUCAAUAGACAAUAUCUAGCUCCCUUGUGUGAAAUUACAGUGUGGUUGUGGUAACUGUAGGUUGGUUUGGCUUUGAAGCAACUCUUUGAAGAUGGGGUGGUGAAGCGUCAUGAUUUGUUUAUCACCUCAAAACUAUGGUGUAAUGAUCUAGCACCGGAAGAUGUGCCUGUUGCAUUGGAAACAACCUUGCAAGAAUUGCAGCUUGACUAUGUUGAUCUCUACCUUGUACGUGCUUCAUACACUGGUUUGGCACUGUUUUGUAUAUCACUGUAAGAUACUGCUUUGUUUGCUUGCUUGUUGAGGAACUAUAAGAUUCUACUCAUUGGCAAAUGUGCAGUUUGUUGAAGCAGAGGAUUUUGUACAUGUGGAGCAAGGUACUUUGUAACGGCAACGGUGGCCGUAACAACCACCACUGUUACAGUUAUGAUACGGGUCUACGGCCACCAUUGUUACA